rnacentral:rRNA from 1 species
UACGGAGGGAGCUAGCGUUGUUCGGAAUUACUGGGCGUAAAGCGCACGUAGGCGGCUUUGUAAGUUAGAGGGGAAAGCCUGGAGCUCAACUCCAGAAUUGCCUUUAAGACUGCAUCGCUUGAAUCCAGGAGAGGUGAGUGGAAUUCCGAGUGUAGAGGUGAAAUUCGUAGAUAUUCGGAAGAACACCAGUGGCGAAGGCGGCUCACUGGACUGGUAUUGACGCUGAGGUGCGAAAGCGUGGGGAGCAAACAGG